CAGCAGCCGCGGUAAGACAGAGGAUGCAAGCGUUAUCCGGAAUGAUUGGGCGUAAAGCGUCUGUAGGUGGCUUUUCAAGUCCGCCGUCAAAUCCCAGGGCUCAACCCUGGACAGGCGGUGGAAACUACCAAGCUGGAGUACGGUAGGGGCAGAGGGAAUUUCCAGUGGAGCGGUGAAAUGCGUUGAGAUCGGAAAGAACACCAACAGCGAAAGCACUCUGCUGGGACGACACUGACACUAAGAGACGAAAGCUAGGGGAGCAAAUGGGAUUAGAUACCCGGGUAGUCCCUGUCUCUUAUAC
rnacentral:rRNA from 1 species